rnacentral:rRNA from 1 species
UGGGGAAUUCGGACAAUGGGCGAAAGCCUGAUCCAGCAAUGCCGCGUGUGUGAAGAAGGCCUUCGGGUUGUAAAGCACUUUUGUCCGGAAAGAAAUCCUUGGCUCUAAUACAGUCGGGGGAUGACGGUACCGGAAGAAUAAGCACCGGCUAACUACGUGCCAGCAGCCGCGGUAAUACGUAGGGUGCAAGCGUUAAUCGGAAUUACUGGGCGUAAAGCGUGCGCAGGCGGUUUGCUAAGACCGACGUGAAAUCCCCGGGCUUAACCUGGGAACUGCAUUUGUGACUGGCGGGCUAGAGUAUGGCAGAGGGGGGUUAGAAUUCCACGUGUAGCAGUGAAAUGCGUAGAGAUGUGGAGGAAUACCGAUGGCGAAGGCAGCCCCCUGGGCCAAUACUGACGCUCAUGCACGAAAGCGUGGGGAGCAAACAGGAUUAGAUACCCUGGUAGUCCACGCCCUAAACGAUGUCAACUAGUUGUCGGGUCUUCAUUGACUUGGUAACGUGCUAACGCGUGAAGUUGACCGCCUGGGGAGUA